rnacentral:sRNA from 1 species
AGAAAACGUUGCCGCAGGCAACGACCCGAAGGGUGAGGAGCGGAGCGACGAAUAAUCCUUCCCCCACCACCA